AGUUAGAACUAAGUUCUUCAUUAGGCUAUGUCCUCAUGGUAAAGGUGGCCUAGAAAUAAUCUACUCUUUAGCACAGAGAGAUGGCAACAGAGAGGGCUGAGACCCUGAGACCCACGAAAGUAAAGUUGAGAAAGGGGACUCAUAUUAGAAGAUAAACGAUCUCCAGAAACAUAGUGGCAGUCCAGAGUCAAGAAGAAUCAGUAGAGCACCCAUAUGUUGCACGUGGAUAGAUCCCAGAAGCACCAAUACAUAUACCAGGUGUUGAUUCCAAGAGUACUCCCUAAUAGAUCUCCUCCAGGCUAAUGUCCAUCUCAGAGUCUGCUGGGAGUGAGAGUAGGACACCCAACUUGCAACAACGGGAAAAGCUCUGAGGCCUUUGGUCCUUUAUUCUUCAAAGAGGAUCCUUUUUCUAUGCCUCCACCUUCCACUGAGUCAGAAUUUUCCUCCCUGGAGCUGCAAAUAUAGUAGUCUCAAUGGCAAAUGUUCAAGACACACUGAACUGAAGAGGUGACAGAAUACCACACAGACAUUUAGUUCUGAUUUGCAUCAAGUACAAGAAGCUUCAUUUCUGGAAUGAAAUAGUAGGAAAAUCCAUUCUCUUUCCUUACUACUUCCUUCCCAAUAUAAAUGUUGCUGUGCAGCAUUUGCCCCUAUAUGUACAGGUGAGAUGAUUGCAAAUAUUAUAGUCUGGCUUUAAAAAAAUGAAUUUCCUAGCACAAUAGGAAACCAAACAACCUCAAAG